UACGUAGGAUGCUAGCGUUGUCCGGAAUCACUGGGCGUAAAGGGUCCGUAGGCGGUCUGUUAAGUCUCCUGUGAAAACUCAGGGCUCAACCCUGAGACGUCGGGGGAUACUGGCAGACUCGAGACUGUCAGAGGCAGGUGGAAUUCCCGGUGUAGUGGUGAAAUGCGUAGAUAUCGGGAGGAACACCAGUGGCGAAAGCGGCCUGCUGGGGCAGUUCUGACGCUGAUGGACGAAAGCGUGGGCAGCAAACCGG
rnacentral:rRNA from 1 species